AUAAGAUAGUUUCAACGCAGAUUGUUUCACUGUCUGGUGUUGGAAUCGCAGAAUGGGCGAUUGCUUCUGUCCUGGCCUUAGUCGUCGUGCUUGGACUUGUAGUGUUUUGCCGAAGACGGGUUAAAACGGCACAAGAAGUAAAUAAGAAACCGGAAUGGACAGACGACAGGUAUUACAAUGUGAAAUCCAUGAAAGAUGCUGUUUCUGUCAGCAUACGUCCGGACUCCACGCCAAACUACAGUUGCCUUGAUGAUACGGACAUCUCUCACACGUAUUCUGCCUUGGACAAAAACGCGGCUUAGUCAGUUCAACCGGAGCUUCAUUGUUGAAUGUGAAAUUUCAUGGGUUUUUUUACAGCGCAAAAAAUGAAUAUUUGAAUCAAUAUGGACCACUUGUGUUGUUCUGGCUCAGUAUGUAUUAUAUUGGAAUAACGCAACUGCAAAAACAUCAUCAGGUUGAAAUUAUUACAACCAUAUUCGCUUGUCAUUCACGACGCUACUUUAAAAUGUACCAAGCGCGCAGAACACGAUUUUUACUUUGUUUAAGUGAAAUGUUAACAUAUUGACAACAUGUUAUACGGCAAAAUCUAUUAUAUUCUCAACUGUAUUCAUCACACAAGAACUGACUAUAAAACAUACCAAAGCCUCUAUUACGAGUUUAUAUAAACAAAUAAUACAAAAAUUACAAUAUGAGAGUCAGGAACUGCCUGAUAAGCUAUUAAGUAAUGUUGUAUUUUAGAUGGAAAAAGACAUGUGGUAGUUUUUUAGUAUUUCGUUUAAAUUCAAUAAAAUUGUAGAAACUUUAUUCAACAACUUACAAAUUUAUAUAUUAUUGUUAAAGCAGGAGGUCCAUUUCUUGUUAAAAACUUGGAUAAAACCUCUCAUUGA